AGAAAAGCCAGGUUAGAAUAUUUACAGGUCAUUUUCCCCUUUAAAACAGGGUCAGAUGGACACCUUUACUUCUAUUUUGUUAGUCAAAAAAACCAAAGUAAGAGCAAUUUAUCUUCCUCCGUAUGAAGAGAGGCUUUAUAGGAAUUAGAUGACUUCACCACAUACAGACAAUGUUUCCAAGACCAAACACCUGAUCUGAUGAAGCUACUGAGUGCCAAACUAACAGCUCCAAUAGAGACCCUCUAGAGAAGCUGCUGGUGACACUGCAAAACAUAUCAAGGUGCUGGUAAUGAAAGUGUUAACCAUGACGAAGGAAACCAGGAAUGUGGGUAGUUUGACUAAGGAUUUCUGGCUGCUAUUAAAACAACAGUUGUUCAGUUGCUGCAGCAACGUAUGAAGUCACUAAAAAUAAGCUCCAAGAGGUAACUGUAUAUGGCAAAGGCCAACAGCACACAGAAAAGCUGGAUCUGAAAUAUUACUACUGAAAAUACACUGCACUUGAAAAUGAAAGGCAAAGCUCCAUGAAACCUCUAUAAAAUCAGACAGUAAAUCAGUGUAAAUAUGUAUGCCCUCAAGCUUAUCAGAUAAGCAAGAAAAUGUUAAACUGACUUUGGCUUAAUAAACUCAUGUACUGAGCACUGCCUUGGAAGCUAGCAAACUCCAGUUAUCUUCCUCAGCUUGACCAUAGCUUCAGUUCACACAAGUAAUUUUGCUUCUCUGUUCCUUUACAUCCUUUUCUAAUACUAACCAUUUAAAUUAUAAUCUCUUUGUGAUGAGGACUGCUUUUAACCUUAAACUGCCUGAAGAACAGGGUGUUACUCUCAACUCUGUGAACCCUUAAGAAUUCACAGUGGUAACAAAAAAAAAACAUUCCUCCAAGCAGCACUUCUAGAAAAUAACCACAUCAGCUACUUCCUGGAAAUUGGAUCCCAAAUGACAUAAACUAAGCGUUAACACAAUGUGUGUAAGUGUUGCCAAUUCCAACUGCACCUUUAGCUCAUCUUAUCAUUAACGUCAUUUAUCUAAAGUUAGCAGCGACGUGCUCGCCAGGCUGAAGCCCCGCAGUGUGCUGGAUGACAACAGAAAUAACCAGUCCAUGAAAGCAGGUGGAUGAGAUAAACUGGUUGGGGUGGGGAGAGAGAAGUUAUAAGGAUGCAGUGCAAAUGUUAUCAUGGUCAUUCACAACAGCAAUGACUUUGUUUCAACUACAGAAACCUAAAAUCUCAGGUGGGGACUGUUAGCCAGCAGGUCAUAAAAAUGCAUCCUCUCUAUCCUGGGUAUUUGUAGAUAGAUGCUCAUUUGUCCACUGAAGUCUGCUUUGCCAACACCAUCAGUGAUACAAGUGGCGUUCACUACAAUCAGCUGAAGAAACCCUGCAGGUUAAGGAGCUUCUUAACUGGACAGCAAACACAUGCUGCAGGUGAUGCUGGAUUGUUCAUUCUCCUUUCAUUAAUGAGGGCAGGGAAUCCUUAGACAAACCAAUAAUGCUCAGAUAAUUG